UAAUGUUCUCAGGGCGGGGUGAAAGUCCCCACCGGCGGUAAGAGCCUCGGCUCAAGCCCGCGAGCGCCUUCCGGAAACGGGAGGGUCAGCAGAUCCGGUGCGAUUCCGGAGCCGACGGUUACAGUCCGGAUGGAAGAGAACGAUC
rnacentral:ncRNA from 1 species